rnacentral:rRNA from 1 species
GACGAACGCUGGCGGCGUGCCUAAUACAUGCAAGUCGAACGCACUCUCGUUUAGAUUGAAGGAGCUUGCUCCUGAUUGAUAAACAUUUGAGUGAGUGGCGGACGGGUGAGUAACACGUGGGUAACCUGCCCUAAAGUGGGGGAUAACAUUUGGAAACAGAUGCUAAUACCGCAUAAAACCUAAACACCGCAUGGUGUAGGGUUGAAAGAUGGUUUCGGCUAUCACUUUAGGAUGGACCCGCGGUGCAUUAGUUAGCUGGUGAGGUAAAGGCUCACCAAGACCGUGAUGCAUAGCCGACCUGAGAGGGUAAUCGGCCACACUGGGACUGAGACACGGCCCAGACUCCUACGGGAGGCAGCAGUAGGGAAUCUUCCACAAUGGACGAAAGUCUGAUGGAGCAACGCCGCGUGAGUGAAGAAGGUUUUCGGAUCGUAAACUCUGUUGUUGGUAGAAGAAUGUAUCUGAUAGUAACUGAUCAGGUAGUGACGGUA